rnacentral:sRNA from 1 species
ACAACAUGGGGUCAUCAAGAUGUUCCAUUGUCAAUGUGAUAUUCGUGUUAGCCCUUUUCAUUAUGAUUUUAGAUUUGUGCAUGAUAAGGACAUAAGCAAGAGGACCCAUUGUUCGUAUACCAUGUGAUAACGAUAAGCAGUGCGAAGAUAGGUACCGUAAACCAUAUUGUGAUUGUAGAUCAUCAGUAUGCAUUAAGACUGUUUGUCAAUGUAAACAUUUAACUUCAACCUAUACUGAUUAUUCCAAACCACCCUUCAAAGCACCACCACCAAACCACCCUCUACCACCAUACCAAUCACCACCACCAAAGCAUCACCUCCACCACUAUACCACUACCCACCACAUCAGGCACCACCACCAUACCAAACACCAGUUCCACCACCAUACCAAACACCAGUUCCACCACCACAACCACCAGCCCAUCAAAUGCCAUCUCCACCACCAUACAAAGCCCUACUUCCACCACCACCACCUUACUGAGUCAUCUCUUGUUUUAGAUGCAAUUCACCAUCUUCUUACUCAUAUGUAUUCUAA